rnacentral:lncRNA from 10 species
GGCCUUUCAGCUCCCUCAGCCUUUGGGGGUAGGUUUGCAUAGGCCUCCUCCCCGUAGAAGAGGUGGAGUCAGGAUUUGCACCCAUAUAGUCUAGCUCCAGAGUAUGUGCUCUGACACAUAGGCUAUCCUUCCUGAAGGAGUCAGUCAAAGAAAUCAGGAUAAAGAGAAAGACUGAUGAGCCAGUAAACACACUGAUUCUCUACCCUUCCGAGAAGAGGAAAAAUCGGAACCUCUUUGGCCUUUUCCAGGUUCUUGUUUCUGGCCAGAUUCAUAGCUAACAGCCACUGGCUGAGUCUCCACAGAAUUCCUGGGGAGUGUAUGUGAUGUGUGAAAACAAAAGAGACACCUGUGCUCUGACUCAACUUGUUUGUUUUUGUGUUUGUUUGCUUGUGAGACAAGGCUCUCACACCUUUUGUUGCCCAGGGUGGCCUUGAACUCCUGGGCUCAAGGAGUCUUCCUGCUUCAGCCUGUGGAGUAGCUGGGAUUAUAGGCAGGAACCACCACACUAAGUUUCUCUGCCUCAGUUCUGAAUAAGAGAGCACUUCACAUCCAGUGGACAUGAAAGCAUUCUACACCUUGAGUUCUGGAGGCUGAGAAGUCCAAGAACAUGGUGCCAUCAUCUGAUGAGAGUCAUCCCAUGGUGGAAGGACAGCAAGUGCAAGCAAACUGGCCCCAAUCAGGAUAUCCAAAAGCCACUUGCACAAUAAUUCGACCGUGCACUUGUUAAGUUGUGAAGAUGAACGAAGUAGCAACUCAAGGAAACGUCAACCAAUGACCAUUGGGUCUCUGCAAAUCCACAUUUUCACAGGGAGGAAGUCGGAAGUAAUUGGAGCGACGGAGUCUCCUAGGGGGCAGACCAGCCAUCUGACGGCAAAGCUCAUCUAGAAGAGAAGCAGAACAUCAUGGGAAGAGAAUGCAGAAGAUAACAAAGGCUCUUGUUUUAAGGGAUAGAGAAGACUUUUCAGUGUGGUGUAGUGAAAAGGUUGGAGAGAAAAAGAUCCGGGUUUUAACCAGCUCUGCCACUUACUUUAGUUAUUUGCCACUUCCUAGAAAGUUUCUUAAAUUUUAUAAACCUCACUAUCCCUUUCUGUAAAAUGAGAAUUAAAAUACCUACCUCAACAGUAUAUUUCUGAGUAUUAAAAUGAAAUCAUGUAUGCAAAGUACCUAGCACAGGUGAGCAGUAAAUGUUAGUUUCCUUUAUAUAUCCAGCUGCCAAUUCUUCUAAUCAUGGAUCUAUUAAAUAGAAAAAUGAGAUCCAAUCAUUCAGUAUACAUUUACGUGCU